ACAAGACUUUAAUGGCAGUAUAUUGGUGGCCCUCUAUAUUUUUUGAUGCACACCAAUUUGUUCGUUAUUGUGACCCCUGUCAACGAAUGGGUUGACCCAUGGACACUUCAACCAUGCCAUUGUCGUAAUACGUGAAGUCUUGCUUGAGAAUGCUCCGAGCACUUGGCUCUGGAAGGAAGAAUAGAAAUUACAAUAAAAAAAUCUUAAUUCUAAUAGAAUACUAACAAUGCUCUAAUUAAACCAUAAUAAUGCUAAGCAAGCUUUAUCAAAUUCAAAAAAAUCUCAAAGAAAUUUCAAACAAACAAUAAGAAUUCUUAAAGAAAUAUUAGAAGGAUCACAAAUAUCACUCAAAUAUAUCUCAAUUCAAUCUUAAUUUAAUUCUAGUUAAAAUCCCAUUGAACUUCAUUCAAACUUUAGGCCAAAACUAAUUGAAUCUUAAAUCCUAAUAAAAUCCUAAACCCUAAAUCAAAUCUUAAACAAACCUUAAAUCAAAUCCCAACCAAAUCCUAAAUCAAAUCCUAACCAAAUCCUAAAUCGAAUCCUAACCAAAUCCUAAAUCAAAUCCUAACCAAAUCCUAAUCCAAAUCCUAAAUCCUAAACCAAAUCCUAACUAAAUCCUAAACCCUAAAUCAAAUCUUAACCAAAUCCUAAAUCCUAAACCAAAUCCUAAUCAAAUCCUAAUCAAAUCUUAAAUCCUAAAUCAAAUCCUAAAUCCUAAAUCAAAUCCUAAUCUAAAUCUUAAAUCCUAAAUCAACUCCUAAUCAAACCCUAAAUCCUAAAUUAAAUCCUAAUCCAAAUCCUAAACCCUAAAUCAAAUCCUAACCAAAUCCUUAACCAAAUCCUAGUAAUUCCUACAACAGAUUUAAACCUCAAUAACUAAUGAAUAAACCAUUGAUCUUAAUU
rnacentral:lncRNA from 1 species